rnacentral:rRNA from 1 species
UUUUACAAAGGACCCGAGUUCGGAGUCCUCGGUCCUCUGGAUCGUGUUCUCUUAGAUGCGUCGCACCGAUCGCCUGAUGGGUCUCUAAUGCCUAAGCGUGGAGUUCCUUCAGAGUCCGAGACGUGCUUGACCGGGUGUUGAGCUCGUGUCACCAAGUCUGCCUCACAAGCAGUACUACAACGCAUGACCUCAUUGGGGUAGGACAACCCGCUAGACUUAAGCAUAUUAAUCAGCGGAGGAAAAGAAACUAACCAGGAUUCCCUUAGUAACUGCGAGUGAAGCGGGAUCGGCUCAAUGUGUGAAUCUGGCUUGGGGUACAUCCCGGGUCCGAGUUGUGCACUAUGGAUGCUUCGUCUGCGUUUGUAAAGGCGGUGGAAGUCCGUUGAAACACGGCACCUCAGAGGGUCACAGUCCUGUACCAUCCGUCUGCACUCGCGCCAAUGACAAGUGCUCCUUGAGUCGCGUAGUUUUGUAAUGCUGCGCCAAGUGGGAGGUAGAGACCUUCUAAGGCUAAAUAUGAUGACGUGACCGAUAGCACACAAGUACCGCGAGGGAAAGGUGAAAAGCAACCAUGAAAAAUGGGUUGAAACAGUAGUGAAAUCGCUACCGGGAUAAGGGCUAUCGGGUGCUGGGGCUCUUUGGGUGUGCUUUAGUGCUACCCUCGGAGACGGCCCGCGAGGGUUGAUGUUGGGGCGAUAGACGCGCUGCAGGAUUUCGGCUGCCUGUGGGCAGCUGUUGUAGCCUGCGGUGUGAUCCUCC